GAUUUUUCCAGCUAGUGGAAGAAAUGGAAGCUGGUGAGAUUCCAAGUGUCAAGGAUUCCAGGGGCUGUUGUGGGCUUUGAAGAUAGAACAACGUGGGUGGCCUCCAGGAGCUGAGAGCAGCCUCCAGAUGACAGCCGGCAAAGAAAUGGGGACCUGAGCCACCAAGAAUUGGGUUCUGCCACCCACCUGAAUGAGCCUGGAAGUCGGUUCUCCCCCAAAUCCAGCCAACAGCCCAGCUUCAGCCUGUGAGACCUGGGUCGGAGAACACCACUGAACCCAGACUUCUGUGUGUUGUUUCAGGCUGCGAAGCUCAUGCCAUUUGUUAUGCAGUGUGAGUAACUAAUACACACCCUGAGGAGUCGAAGGCAACCCCAGGCAAGGAGGCACAGGGAGCUGGGACAUUGGGCUCCUGCUCAUCAGCACCCAGGAAGCCAAGAUGUUCCUGAAAACUGCGUCCCAGCCACAGGAACCGCCACCCUUCCUGCCCUGCCCCAUGUCCAGUGUCAGUGCCCUGCCCGUGUCCAGCGUCAGUGCACCAGAGACAGCCUGAAUACUAGUUGCAACUGGAGCCUGCGAGAUCCUCAGCUUUGUUUAGAAGAAGGAGAGGAGAGAAGGAGAAGAAGGAGGAAUAGCAGUUAGUGGACAUCUGCCAACCACACACAUCGGAUGCCCCACGUCACUUACACCCGUCUUCUUCUUGCAUUACUUCUCAUGGGGUAAAUCUCACUUUCCAACAUGAAAUCCAAAGUCCGAUGUCUCCCAACCUCCUCUGUCUGUGGUGAGGAGGCAGCGUGCUGUGGGCCUGCCCUCUGGAGGCACCCACGCAGGAGGACUGUGAUUUGGGACUGCCACGUGGGAAGUAGCCCCACGGGGAGGCCAUGGUGUUGUCACAGUAACCAGGCACCCUGGGCUGUGUCAUAAGUGCUUCAUGAACAGGCAAAGGCAGGGCCCUGGGAGGGCACAGAAGGAGCCCUACCUUGCCGGGGGCUAGGGGGCCAGGAAGCAAACACAUCCCAGAGAAGGGAAGAAAGUGGAAGGACAUUCACAAAGGUUUGUCUAAUAAAUCAGAUGUUUAAAUUAAGGAAAGUGGAAAUGAAAACUAGAGAAUAAACCCACUUAAGUGAGCUGGGGGAGACUGAAGAGCUGCCACACCCCCGGAGGCUGCCAUGGCCGAUGGCCCCAGAGAGUAGGAUUCACCAGGAGAUGCUCCAAACCCACAGCAGGCCAGACUGACUGUGACCCACUGACGGGGGCGCUCUUCACUGUUUGUUCAAGGAGAACACCCUAUUGUGCAAAGAAGCCAAGUUACCCUGCAGACAAAAGGAGAUGCCGUCACCAACCACCUGGAACCAGACCAGGCCUCACCACCAGACCUCACCUGUGACCUUUGCCUUAUUUUGAAGGGUAAGAGCCCUCCAGGAGGAGCUUCGCCCUUAUUGCCAUCACCUGCAGUGCGUGUGGAAGCACGAUUUCAAACUGAGCUUGUGCAAGAGGAUUCCCACCUCUCCCUUUGGAAUAUUCAUUCCUCAUCCCAAAGAAAAGGUCCCUGCUUCCCGUGGUUCGGGGACGCCAUGACUCUGGAGAUGAUUCCCCUGGGUCUCCUCUUUGCUGCAAACAUACUUCACUUUGUGGGACAGCUGGUUCUGGUGGGGAGUCUGAUGUGACUUGCCAGGAGGGGACCUCCUUCAGUGUCGUCAGUAACCAAAGAGUUCACACCACGUUGCCUCCUGUCAUUAGGAGAAGGCUGACCCUGUGAAACAGCACUGUGCUGGGCCACAUGGCGUCUUGUUACCCACAGUCGCCCUCCUGAAGCUGGGUGUCCACCGAGCAUCUGCCUGGGCCCUGGUCUAUGGAGCAGCCCGUCAGGGGCCUUUGGGGCCUGGAGGUCUCUGAAUGCCUCUUUGCAGCAUGCAUGCCUUUCUUCCCCACAUCUCUGAGUGUGAGGACAUGCCAGGGCUGGUGUGGAGUGUGCAGAGUGCACUUUACCAGGCAACAGUCUAUUUUUGUGUUUCGAGCACCUCCUCUCCUCUGAAACUUUCCCUGUGCCUCUGACCCACCGUUUACCUGUGUGUGUGCUCACGUGUGUGUGCAUAUGUGCUCACGUGUGUGUGCAUGUGUGUACAGGUUAAGGUGGGUCUCCCACCCCUGCCCCAGACAUUGCUGAGCUCUCUGGGGGACUGAAGCCAGAAGAUGCUGUCGACGAAAAUAAUCCAUAACCAAUCUAUAAAUGAAAAUUUGGAAGAGUUUAUUCUGAGCUAAAAUCUGAGGACCAUGGCCCGGGAGAGCCUUUCCACAAAGGAACAGAGCACUCCAAAGAAGGGGGGUAUACAGGGUGGCUAUAUACCCUCAAACAGGAUGUUUCGCAUAUGAUUGAAAUGUCCCUUUUAGAAUAGUCUCAAGGCUGCUCUGUCAGCACAGUGAUUGAUGGACACAGCAGGUAGGUCUGCUGUCUCGGUGAACACAGCAGGGUGGCAGGUCUGUUGUCUCGAGCUGGGUGGUCACAGGUGAGCUGGGUGGUCAAAGGUGAGUGCAGCAAUCAGUUCCUAGCCUAAGGAAAGGUGCUUAAUCUUUAAGGAAAUGCCAACAUUGGGAGGGGGAGGGAAGUUGCACCUUUAUCUCAAGGGCCUUUGUUCUUACCAUAGGGAAUGUCUAAAGCAGAUAUACAAUGCAUGCUCAACGGCCACAGUCAGGCCCUUUUGGAAAAAACAAAGUCAGGCCGAAUUAGGUUUUUACCAAAUGGCUUCCUCAUACACUCCAAUAUAUCCUAUUGCUUGCCAUUUCAAUUUGUCAAUGCAAAUGUGCGGCACUGAGAGUUCAGGUUUCCUGCCACAUGCAGGAAACCAGCUUCAGGAGACAGCAGAAGAAAGUCCACGUUCGAACGGAACAAGAGGAUACUUGGCAAGAAAGAGAACAAGGCAGUUCCCGCCUCUGGUUCGGGUUUCAUUUCAUUUAGUUUCAAGCCCAGACACAUUCCUGCACUUGGGUUCUGUGACACAUUCCAAGAUCUGUUCCAAGAGGAUAUCUUCUCCUGCAGCACAAAUGUCUAAAGAGCAUAGCAACCAUACCCCCGACUGAGGAUGCACAAGCUUUGAUGAAGCUCCCCAGGACAUGCAAUGUGUGCAUGCAAACUGGUGUUCAUCUGAGGGACGGGCGGACAGUGUUACACUGGGACUCAUAGAUCUGACCUUCCGAAGUUAGUAACACCGAGAACUCUGGGCCACACAUAGAAUUUUUCAGACCAGCUCACUGGUGUUUAGAUCUUUGAGCUCAAGUACUCCCCUUUUUCUCUGCUGUAUCUCCAGUGUCUGCAACAGCGGCAGGCACAGAGCAGACGCUCCAUAGAUAUUAGCUGAAUAAUCAACCAUGUCUACAGGAGCGAGCCCUCGGCCUGCCGUGGAGCACGUGUGAAGCCUAAGUGGAAGCGUCUGCAGCGCCCGUCCCCCUCUGCUACCCACUGUGAAGUUAGGCAAGUCGCCUCGCCCCCACCAUUGCAUCGGGGACAUCAUCACCUUCUUCAUGGAGCUGCCUUUAACUUCAAGUGGGAUGGUCCCUGUAAAAGCCAUUCGUAAACUGUAAUGUGCUGAGCAAAUGAGCUGAUAAUGAUGCUAGCUUUAGGACCACAUGGAAAAGGCACAGCAGGUAUUUUAAGGGUUAGAAACAAAAGCUGGAAGUCUGAAAGGACAGAUACAGAACAGAUUUUGAUUUAGGAAAAGUUUAGGGAAAAGACAAGACUCUGUAGUUAGGAAGAGUCUUCAGAGGCCGACCCAGGCCCAGGAGGAGCGGCUCCACGCCCACCUACAGCCCCUCCCCCGUUGUCACUACACCCAGCCCCAGGGGCAUGCUGUCAGGGGUCUGGUUCCCCACUGGCCCCGUGUUGACGAGACCGGGGUGCCUGUCCCCAUCCCCCUGGGUAACCUGUGCCAUGCUCCAUGAGCUUCUUCCUGCCUCUAGCUCCUUGGUGUAAAGGGAGAGGAUUAAACGAGUUCAGUGGUUUUCUAAAGCUUUUAAUAGCAGAACUGUGUUUUCAAACAAAACCCUGCAUAUAUAAAGGUCAAAUUAGCAGAUCUACUGUGACUAUAUGCAGAGAAAUUAUAGUGGGUGCCUUUCGUACGUGGAUGGUCUACAGUGAGUGUUCUCGUUGGGGCAUGGCUGGAGGCCCAGGACAUGCUCUCCCCUGCCCGCUCAGCCCAUCUCUUUGGCGUCUCCUUCAGCACUUCCAUAAAACAUUAGGAUGCAGAGGACACAGCGGAAAUGCCUGAGCAAGAUGAUGUCCCCGGUGGUGUCCUUCUGCUACAGAAAAUUGGCAUGUGUGACCUGACCCUCAGCUUCCUGUCGUCAUCCUGUCCUCUCCCCCCAGACACAGUGCCCUCUUUCUUUGGAAAUGUGCCUUUUAUUGCCCUUGUUUGAGCAAGAUGUCCUGAAUGUAUGUGUGAAAUCAAAGGGUAGUAAUGAAACCCUCUCCAGAAACCGUCCGGCUUGGUAGGCAGUGAGCCCAGCUCACAUGACUGCAUAGCUGACUGUUAGGUUUUCCUUUCUGAAACCACAACUGGUGCAUCCACAGGAGCCCAGGGGGAGCCGCUUCUCUUCUCAGCUAGUGCCACCUGGCCACAGGGCUUCCCGGAGCACACGGUGCUCCAGGCGUUGUCAACACGCAAUCAUGGACCUCCGUUGGACAAACCAUCCCACCGGUCUGUCUUCGAGCAGACGUGUUUGUCAGUUUGAGCUGGCUUAGUGGAGGAAUGGGGAUCCCUGGGGUUUUUUAUUAUUAUUAAAGCUCCAUCCA
ensembl:lncRNA